UACGUAGGGGGCGAGCGUUGUCCGGAUUUAUUGGGCGUAAAGAGCUCGUAGGCGGUUGCGGAAGUCGGGUGUGAAAUACCGGGGUUCAACUCCGGGGCGCCAUUCGAUACUCCGCUGACUCGAGUCCGGUAGGGGAAGGUGGAAUUCCUGGUGUAGCGGUGAAAUGCACAGAUAUCAAGAGGAACACCUGAGGUGAAGACGGGUUGCUGGGCUGACACUGACGCUGAGGCGCGAAAGCCAGGGGAGCAAACGGG
rnacentral:rRNA from 1 species